rnacentral:rRNA from 1 species
AGAUUGAACGCUGGCGGCGUGCCUAACACAUGCAAGUCGAGCGGUAACAGGUGUAGCAAUACAUGCUGACGAGCGGCGAACGGGUGAGUAAUGCUUUGGAAUCUUCCCAGUAGUGGGGAAUAACCAGUCGAAAGAUUGGCUAAUACCGCAUACGUCUGUAAAGGGAAAGCGGGGGCUCGUAAGACCUCGCGCUAUUGGAUGAGCCAAAGUCGGAUUAGCUAGUUGGUGGGUAACGGCCUACCAAGGCGACAAUCCGUAGCUGGUCUGAGAGGACGACCAGCCACACCGGAACUGAGACACGGUCCGGACUCCUACGGGAGGCAGCAGUGAGGAAUAUUGGACAAUGGGGGAAACCCUGAUCCAGCGACGCCGCGUGUGUGAAGAAGGCCUGCGGGUUGUAAAGCACUUUUAGUGGGGACAAAAAGCUACGGAUUAAUACUCUGUGGUCUUGAUUUAACCCAAAGAAAAAGCAACCGGCUAACUCUGUGCCAGCAGCCGC